rnacentral:rRNA from 1 species
CCUACGGGUGGCAGCAGUGGGGGAUAUUGCACAAUGGUGGGAACCCUGAUGCAGCGACGCCGCGUGGGUGAAGAAGCGCCUCGGCGCGUAAAGCCCUGUCAGCCAGGGAGAAAAUGACGGUACCUGAAGCAGAAGCCCCGGCUAACUACGUGCCAGCCCCCGCGGUAAUACGGAGGGAGCAAGCGUUAUCCGGAUUUACUGGGGGUAAAGGGGGCGCAGACGGCGAUGCAAGCCAGGAGUGAAAGCCCGGGGCCCAACCCCGGGACUGCUGUUGGAACUGCGUGGCUGGAGUGGAGGAGGGGCAGGCGGAAGGCCUGGUGUAGCGGUGAAAUGCGUAGAUAUCAGGAGGAACACCGGUGGCGAAGGCGGCCUGCGGG